CUGAGGGAAAAGUAACUCAGCUUGUGACCAGAGCAGCUAAGCUGAUAAAUGAAAACUUCAGGGGUCCACUGUACUUACCUGGGAGGGGAGAGGAGCCCAGACUUGGAUUCGCAAAAAAGAGCCAGAACUGUAGCCCAAGCACAGGCUAGCUCUGAGCAAGACCUUCUCUGGGUCUUAAGUCCUGUUACCUGCAGGUGAGGUGCCAAUCACCUGGGGUGUCAGGAGCCCUUCCUUCCCAACUGUAAGGCUCUGUUACUGUAGGUGGGGCUUAGAGGCGGGGCGAGGGCGAGGGCGAGAGAGAGGAAUUUCUUUCUUCUCUUGACUUUUAUCCCAGGGAGCAGAUGGCCUUGUGUAUCAGAAGCCACAAUUCAGAUAUGGACAUAAAGUUGAGUCAUUAAAACCACAAGCUGACUCAAUCAACAGCCUGAAAUAGUAGCUGUGACACAAUCACAUGGAUUCUUCCCCUGGACACUCAAAGCACUGUUCUCCCCAACCCAGCAGACCACAGCGCUCUGUCACUUUUAAUGAACCCGCCCUGAUAGGAACUCCUCUUCCAACUCCUCAAUGGGUCUUUGUAUAACUCAUCACUCCCUCAGGUCUCCAGAGACCAGAAGGAUUUUUUUUUUUUAACAUUCCUUUAAAUCCUAGGGAAAAGGCAGUGUCUUGGGCUGCGGACAGCUGCCUCUCUGGGGCCGAGGAGGGCUGUGAGGCACCCGGCGCUGCAGUUCCUCGGCUCAAAGCAGGAACAGAGAUAGCCCAGCCAGGGGUGGCCCAGCUCCGCCCAGCGGCCACUGAAGGAAACCCACGGCCACCAGGGCCUUCAUAGUUUAACACUCUCACAGGCCUUUUAGGUCUAGUCUCCUUCUUUUCUUCUCAAUUGUACUGUCACUGUACCAAAAAAAAAAACUAGCCCUAAGGAAUCCUUGAGCCCAUUCUAGCUCAACUCUCAUUUUCGACGAGAGGACACUGAGCCUCAGAAACCUGUCUAAGGUCCUCUAGACAGCGGCAGUGAGAUCUGACUUCAGGGCUUUUGAUCCCUACCUAGUCCUGUGCGUUUUACACCGAACGUGAUGCCUGGCCUUCUGUCUAAGUUUACAGUAAGGCCGCAUCACCUUCUAGGAAGUGAGUACACAUGGGAAUUACCAGAGUAACUAGAAAUAUCUCCCGAGAGGCCUUCCCAGAUGUUUAGGUGUGUUCUGUGAACCCAGAAAGAUAAGGAUACAGGAUGGAGCCAAUUUUAAAAGUAUGCAGUUGUCAUUUUUACCUUCUUUUUGCUUCAGUAUCUCCUAGGCAAAGUCUCGUCCUAGUCCCUCUUGCACUGGGCAACAGUACUUUGACCAAUUCAAGUCCUCUGCUGGAAGCUUUGGGUCUACCACAACCCCUGCUUUCCCUGCUGUCAGUCCUGGUUUCCCACUAGGGAAGAAGUAGAGAAUGGGGCCUCCCCGGCAGAGGGAAGCCACUGAAGUCUGGCUGCCUGUGUCCAGGAAGCACCUGGGAUUCUGGUUUAGUUCCAAAGGAAAAAGCUUGGAAGGGAAUUCCCCACCAAAAGUCUGAUGCUGGCUGGCACUGAGCUGAGAGGAUAGAGGAAAACGGGGAGAGGCAACAUACUUUUGUUUGUCUAGAAAUGCUUCAUGUCAGGCCACUGACAUCACCUUAUAUGGUGGGGAGGAACAAUGUCGCAAGAAUCACUACAGCCUAAAUCACAAAAAUACUACCAGCCUCAUACUCUAGCCAAACCUGGGUCUAUAAGACUAAGUACUCUAUCCCAGAAAGAUCCAAGUCCAGCAAACCCACCUCCUCCCUUCUAGAAAGCCUGCACUCAGUGUAAGAAAACAGGUUAAGAGUUCUAACUGGGGACUCUGCUGUUUAGGGAAGGUUCUGAAGUCAUACAGAAGAGCCCUUAGAUGGGAACUUCCCUCUGGGGAGAAACAGGCAGCUAGCCAUUCAGUAUGAACCGCAGAGUGAUCUACCUUGGGGCCAGGACACCAGGUGUGUGUGGGUUAGCGUAAUCUCUACCUUUGGUCAUAAAGCCCCCCUUCCAGAAUGUGACAGGUACCAGAGGCCCUGCAGCUAUCACUGUACUGCGAGCUGAGCACUGCUCACAGCAAACCACAUCGGCCCACAGACUGCACGAGACAGGGACCAGGGAAUGUAGCUCUACCUACCUCAGGAGUAGAACCUCUUAACGCUGCCUUUUCUGUAGUUCCCACCCUUCAGCCUAGGAAAGAAGCCACCAUUCCUAGCCCCACUGCACUCGGUGGUGCAGGCCAGGAGGGGCAGCUCUGGCCAUACCUUCUGCUGGACCAGUCACUCGGCCACUACACACUUCCCUCAAAGGCAAUUUAUCUGUUGAUCCUUCCCCAUACUAAUGCCUGGAUCAUCUGUCCUCCUCUCCCCAUAAUUCUUCUUAGAGGCUCUGGCUCAACAAAAUCCACUUAAAUCUUCUGAAGGCCGAGAGAGGAGGUGGUGUGGGAGCCCAUGGGGAAGGCACAGGCCGUGGAGGCUGAGUGCACGGGAUAGGAAGGCCAUCCUCAGUCACAGCCUGUCCGCUGAGAUGCCUACCUGAGGCCCAAGACAAGCAGGACCGGGAGCAGAGAGGCCUCACGGCCUUGGGCACUCAGGCCCGGCUCCAUCUGCUUACCUCCCUGACGGGGUCCUCUCUUCCGCCGGAACGCUGCGCCCGACUGCAGGGCUUCCAGGAGACUGUCCAUCACGCCCGUCUCAUCGCCCUCUGCCGUGGACAGAGAUGGAGAGGGAUUUCUGGGGCUUGGAACCACCUUCUAGCUGCACACCAAUCCGCCUCACCUCGGCUGGCUUUCUCCACGUGGGCAAGCUCAUCGGGAAACUUGAGGACAUCAGGGUAGUCAUUCUCACACAACUCAGCCAAGAAAUGCAGUAACGUCAUCUUCUGAUCUGCGGACUUGGUGUCUCGAAGCUGGUGGGGAAGAGGAGAAAGGGUGAGUCUUGACACACCAAGGUCGCCUCAGGCCGACAGCGGUUUCCCAUGCUGGGCUCCUAGAGGCCACAGCCUUCCCUUCUGUGGUCCCGCUCUAACCCCUGCUCACCUUACAGAGGAAGCUGAUGUUGAAGCCGAAAGCACCAGCAUUCCUGGAGCCAGCAUUCAUAUAGUUUCCGACAAGCAAGGUAAUCUCCAGGAGACUAGAGAAGUUCUCGCUCUUCCGCAACUCCUCACACGCGGCAGUCACAGAGACAAUCUCUGGCUUGAUGUUCUCCACUUGCUCGCUGAACUGCAGCCUGAAGAGGAUGGCGUUGAGGCGAGGCCGCAGGCGGGGCACAGCGCCCAUCUAGGGGAGACCAGCAGUUCCAUUACAGCCAACAGAGAGAGAGGAAAGGCAGAAAAAGGUACAGGCUUGAGCUGCACGGGGUUGUACAUGAUCUGAGUUCCCGAGCAGGGAGGAGAAAGCAAGAAAGAUGGGUUCAAAAUAGGUAAGAGGCCAGGAGCAAGUGCCCGGAGGGAGGAGGGGAGCAAGGGGUCACAGAAGAGCCUGUGUCACAGGCCUCACUCACCACCACACCGAACUGCUCCGACUCAGCCAGAUCAUCAUAUUCGUCCUUCAGUUCAGAAAGCAUUUUUAACUGCUCUGGCUCUGGCAUCUGCUUAAUGAGGUUCUGAAAGGGAGAAGGGACUGUCUCAGUUUGAGGGGGAUGAGCUGACAGCUCAAGCCUCCAGUCAAGUCCCUCACUCUGCCCAAGGACCACUCGGAAGGAAACAUGGGCUAGGGGUGGGGGGUGGUGGCAGGACUUCUGAAAAAUAUACCAGAAAUAACCUGAUCCCCAGAGAGAUGGAAGCUUAUCCAAAGCCAGCAUUCUUUAAACCAACAAUGCUUAAAGCAUCCUUAUCGUGUAAGCACAGAGGAGACAAAGCUAGUGUACAACGAUGCAAAGGGCCAGCUCCAUAAUGACCUUGCUUCUUACCUGGAUCAUAGACUCUGUCAGAACAGCCUCAUUCACCUCCAGGAUGACAUUCUUAAUCUCUUGAUAGGGCAUGCGGAAGGAACCCAGAAAGAUGGCUGCCAGGGGAGGAGAUAAAAAGACAUGUCCUUUUGAGUCUCUUCCCUCUUCCAGCCCAUCCUACAAACCUACGCUGGACAAUUUUCCUAGGAGUGAUCUUUGAAAGUCAGUCAGAAGCCUCCACUAGCUCUGCACUGCCUAUAUAGUUAGGAUGCACGUUCCUGAGCCCAGUGUUUUAAGGUUCCCACCCCCCCAGCUUUCUCUCCCAUCAAUCCCCACAUUGAUGUCACACACCAGCCACAGUUCCACGCAUCACAUUCUGCAAACACCGUGACUCCUUGCCUCUGCUGACAGGAAGUCUUUGAUCUAUCUAUAUACAUCAAAGACGUUUAGCCAGCUCUAUUUCAGUUCCUCACUCUCAUGACUCCAUCCUCAGAGCUGCCCCUGUCCUGAAAUGCUCUGAUCCUAACUACCAAAUCCCAUUCCCUGCCCAGCACUUCCCGUCCUUCCAGCUCCCUCAUUCAUCUCCACACUGACUCUUCAACCUCAUCGGAGCGCACGCACUCUCCCUCGUGCGAGAGAGAUGACAAGUCCGUUUUCUCUAAAUGUCUCCGUUCUACUCUGCCUUCUCCAUUUCACUCCCUCUCUAUUAUUACUACUGUCCCUACUCUCUUGUUUCCUUCACCUUCCAGUCCCUGGUUAAUCCAGCCAUCCCACUUCUCCUCUCACACCCAGGCUGGUGAACAGUGCUAGUGAAAACCCUGCAGGUCACAUUCUAUGAAUCUGUAGUGGCACCAGGGAUUGGGUGGGGGAGGCGGGGGGGAAGCUCAGUGCUGCCUAGUAAUCCUUCUGUGUGUCCCUGGGCCACGCUCUCCUGGCAGCCCCACCACAUAAAAUCCCCCUUUCUCUCAAUGGUCCCACCCCUUCCCCAUCUGUUUUAAUUAAGGAAAACUGAAGCCACUGGUCAAGUUACUUGCUAAGCUCUCUCUUAUGCCACUUAUAAACUGAGCACUGAGGGCUCUCAGUUGGCCCCAGACCAGAAAAGGCUUGAGUCUAGACUACACUGGAAUUAUUUAGAGGAAAACUUGUGCCAGCACUUCUGUAAGCUUAUCAGAGCUGUGUCCACGUAACAUUUCUUUUCCAUGUUUCAGUAGAACAGGUGCCCUAGCGUCCUCUUCCUCCAGCAAUAUCCAGUCAGCGCUCCACACCAUGGAUACAGAGGGCCGACUGUCUACACCAUUGUACAUAAGGGACUCAUGCACCUGUAGAUUCGGGUGUCCACAGAGGUCUUGGAACCAAUCCCCCAAAGGUACCAAGGGUACCUGGAGAAGAUCCUGCGAAGUGGAACUGUCUCACAUCACUUUAGUUUCCAUAAACGGACUUACCUACACGCACUAUUUAGUACUAUUUGUUGUCAAUGAUCUAAGAUUGUACAGUCAAGAAUAAUGUAAAGGCUUACUGCUCUUAUUGUAUGACUGACUUUA